rnacentral:rRNA from 1 species
GACGGAGGGUGCUAGCGUUGUUCGGAAUUACUGGGCGUAAAGGGCGCGUAGGCGGCCGCUUGCGUCGGAUGUGAAAGCCCGGGGCUCAACCCCGGAACGGCAUCCGAUACGGGGCGGCUGGAGACCGGGGGAGGAGGGUGGAAUAGCCAGUGUAGAGGUGAAAUUCGUAGAUAUUGGCUGGAACACCGGUGGCGAAAGCGGCUCUCUGGCCCGGUUCUGACGCUGAGGCGCGAAAGCGUGGGGAGCAAACAGG